rnacentral:lncRNA from 1 species
GCAGCGUUGCAGCUUCACCACUGCUGAGCUGGAGACAGCAGCAGCUGGCACCAGCGUGGACCCAGCUCCUGAUGAGACAGGAUCUUUCCCCUUGAAGGUGCCCACAGGCUAAUGCUCUGCAGCUGGGAAGGGCCUGGUGCUGGGGAGGGAGAUGGGAAACACCUGGGGAGCCUGGAGGAGGGGCUGGAGCCUACUCCUCACAGAUCUGGCAAGGUUGGAAGCCCAGAAGAGGGCACAUCACCCCAUCGUCACAAAAUGGUGGAAGUACAGGAGCUGUUAGCCCAGAAUGAACCAAAGGAAAUGGGAACACAGCAAAACCUUCAGUGAGUGCUUUUUCCUCAUCUGGAACCUGCUAAGGGUAGAUGCAAAAAUGGUGCAGGCUGGGGUUUGCCUUGCAGUUUCGCUUACCAGCAAGGCAUCGCUGCCAUCUAGUGUCCCUGCCUUGCACUGCCAGCUCUGCACAAGGGCACAAGUUACAGCUGCUUUUACUUCUCCCUGGCCUAAAACGGACUACCUGUCUCUCACGAGCACCGUUUGGUCUGGCUUGACCUGCAGAGCACGUACCAGAGCAAGCUACCUGUGCUGCCCGAGCAAGAAGUACUUUCACUUCAGGAGGCAACUCGACCAACCACAACAAACAGUGCAAGUACAAUUCCAAACCUGGUCACCGAGCGGGUGAAGGGAAGUAGAGGAGCAGCUGAAAAGAGAAACUCUCCAAACAGACCAGAGUUUGAUUGGAUUAAAAAAAGUGUAUUGGACGUCCAAUACAAAAUAAUAAACAUGAAGUUAUUAAAAAAAGCCA